CUGUACCUACGGGACGCAGCAGUGGGGAAUAUUGGACAAUGGGGCGAAAGCCUGAUGCAGCACCGCCGCGUGAGCGAUGAAGGCCUUCGGGUCGUAAAGCUCUGUCCUCAAGGAAGAUAAUGACGGUACUUGAGGAGGAAGCCCCGGCUAACUACGUGCCAGCAGCCGCGGUAAUACGUAGGGGGAUAGCGUUAUCCGGAAUUACUGGGCGUAAAGGGUGCGUAGGUGGUUUCUUAAGUCAGAGGUGAAAGGCUACGGCUCAACCGUAGUAAGCCUUUGAAACUGGGGAACUUGAGUGCAGGAGG
rnacentral:rRNA from 1 species